UGGGGAAUAUUGCACAAUGGGCGCAAGUCUGAUGCAGCCAUGCCGCGUGUAUGAAGAAGGCCUUCUGGUUGUAAAGUACUUUCAGGGGGGAGGAAGGGAGUAAAGUUUAUACCUUUCUUCAUUGAUGUUACCCGCAGAAGAAGCCCCGGCUCACUCCGUGCCAGCAGCCGCGGUAAUACGGAGGGUGCAAGCGUUAAUCGGAAUUACUGGGCGUAAUGCGCACGCAGGCGGUUUGUUAAGUCAGAAGUGAAAUCCCCGGGAUCAACCUGGGAACUGCAUCUGAUACUGGCAUGCUUGAGUCUCGUAGAGGGGUGUGGAAUUCCAGGUGUAGCGGUGAAAUGCGUAGAGAUGUGAGGGAAUACCGGUGGCGAAGGCAGCCCCCUGGACGAAGACUGACGCUCAGGUGCGAAAGCGUGGGGAGCAAACAGG
rnacentral:rRNA from 1 species